AUAUUUAGAGUAGGGCAUUUCGUGAAAUACUCUUUGAAUCUUUCCCAUGCUUCUGGAUAGCUCUCGAGAUCUUUUUGCUUGAAAGUAUGGACUUCAUUUCGGAUAU
rnacentral:snoRNA from 1 species